AUUGAACGCUGGCGGCAGGCCUAACACAUGCAAGUCGAACGGUAACAGGAAGCAGCUUGCUGCUUCGCUGACGAGUGGCGGACGGGUGAGUAAUGUCUGGGAAGCUGCCUGAUGGAGAGGGAUAACUACUGGAAACGGUAGCUAAUACCGCAUAAUGUCGCAAGACCAAAGAGGGGGACCUUCGGGCCUCUUGCCAUCGGAUGUGCCCAGAUGGGAUUAGCUUGUUGGUGGGGUAACGGCUCACCAAGGCGACGAUCCCUAGCUGGUCUGAGAGGAUGACCAGCCACACUGGGACUGAGACACGGUCCAGACUCCUACGGGAGGCAGCAGUGGGGAAUAUUGCACAAUGGGCGCAAGCCUGAUGCAGCCAUGCCGCGUGUAUGAAGAAGGCCUUCGGGUUGUAAAGUACUUUCAGCGGGGAGGAAGGGAGUAAAGUUAAUACCUUUGCUCAUUGACGUUACCCGCAGAAGAAGCACCGGCUAACUCCGUG
rnacentral:rRNA from 1 species